AUAGCGCCAGGCGCAUGGCUCUUCGGGAGGCGCUGAGAUUCCGGGCCCGGCGGCCGCGGGGAGCGGGUGCCAGUUAGGAACGGGGUUUCUGAUCUCCUCGUUUGCGUUUUGGGGGUUCUUUUUGUUCAUAGCAGCAGACUCGAAAAAGCGAGCCGGCUUGGAGGAAGUCCGCCCAGCGAUCCGAGUGCGCAUUGAUCAGUGUCGAGAGAAAAAAAAGCUACAUAAAUAUAUAUUAUCCACGACGCCGCCAAGCUCUCCAGCGCCGGAGGAGGCCCCGAGGUUCGCUGCCCCAGGCCCGGAGUCCAGCCAGGACACCUCUCCCUGACGAUCCCGAGCCCAACCCUAACAGCAAGUACAGUUCUGAGAAUUGUGGAACUUCAUCCUUUCAGUUUAAGACACUCCUGCCUUUGCUUGAUGGAAUCUUGUUCGUGUCCAACUUUUGCGACCCCAUGGACUGCAGCCCAUCAGGCUCCUCUGUCAAUGGGAUUCUCCAGGGGGAAGUGGGAGCCGCCCAAACAUGGCAUCUAAGAGUCUUCAGAGUGUCAAGGAAGGAGCUGUGUACCACGAGGACCCUGCUGGCUUCCAGAACUGCCCUGUUACUGCAGGACAGAUAGGACCUGCCCUCAAGAACUUUGCAAGGGCCUCAGGUUCCAUAUGAGGGCUUGGUGCCAUCCUGAUCUUUGAUUCCCCAUCUCACUUGUAUUCCUUUCCAUUUCUGCUAAAUGCCGAAGGACCAAGUGG
ensembl:lncRNA